CAAAAAAGUUCGCAGCUGGAUAAUAUGGCGGCGCUGCUAAGAGGACUACGUUUUGGAAGGGCCCUGCGGGGGCUUGACAGCGUCGUAGUUCCAAAGAAAAGCAGUCCCCAGUGCAAUGGCUUGAGACAAGGGUUCCAUUGCACUGCACUCUGCCUUCUGGAGGACAAAGAGAAGUCCAUCCCAGUCCCCCCAUCUUCCACUGCUGCAUUCUCAACCACCUUCCACGAGCAUUAUCAAGCCAACCCAUCUAAAAACGGCAAUGCCACAUCUUCCCAGACGGCUUCUGGACCUGAAGGAGUGGCAUCUGAAGCUGCUACUGAAGAGCAAAACACUAGCUAUUCAGACCAGAGCGGAGAACAAGGAGAAGAUUAUGAAACGGAGGAGCAACUACAAGCACGCAUCCUUAACUCUGCGCUGGACUUCGUCCCCCUACAUGGUUGGACUGUUGAGGCUAUUUCAGCUGGGGCUGAGACCCUGGGCCUUUCAGCUGCAUCCAGUGGGAUGUUUCAGAAUGGGGCAGGGGACCUGGUCCUGCACUUCAUUGCUCAGUGCAACGCGCAGCUAACUGAGCAGAUGGCAGAACAUCACAAGCAUAUUCAACUUGGUCAGGCCGAACCAAAGAAAACUGCUGAGUUUAUUCGGGAUGCUGUGGAGACCAGAUUGAGGAUGUUGACCCCAUACAUCGAUAAUUGGCCACAGGCCAUGAGUAUUCUUCUCCUCCCACACAACAUCCCAGACAGUCUUAAACACCUCUCCACCCUGGUGGACGAUAUCUGGUACUAUGCUGGAGACCGUUCCACAGAUUUGAACUGGUAUACAAAACGGGCCGCACUGACAGGCAUCUAUAACACCACAGAGCUGGUGAUGGUGCAGGACUCCUCAGAAGACUUCCAGGACACGUGGAACUUCCUUGACAACCGCAUUCAGGAUAUUGUCAAUAUGGCCGGCACCGUCAAAAAGGUCAAGUGUCCUUUUCUCAGUCUGCUCAUAGUCUCUUUUAGUUAGGAAAACGUUAAUUGGUGAUUAUAAUGUGAAACUGUAUAAUCAUUAGAGAAAUCUCACUUGUAUGCAACCUGUGUGUAGGGAACUCACUUUGUGUGAACGGGGUAUGGAAACUAGCAUCGGUGUGCCAGGAUACAUAAACAGAUUGAGAACAGUUUUAGGUUUCUCUACAUAACCGAGGACAUGUCAUGGCCCAUGAAUGCCACCAGUGUUGUCAAGCGGAUGCAACAGCAGCUCUAAUCCCGAAGGCAGGGAGGGGCAAACAAACUGUCCGAUUCAACUGGGCCCAUGGUAGGUCUGGGUAUAAAAUAAAUAUUUGUGUAAAAAAACACUGUAGCCCACUCUUAAACAUCUAAAACUAGUUUGAACGUAUGCAGAAAAGACUAUAGACCUAUAAAUGUGUAAAUAACCACAAUUUUCUCAGCCCCCAAAUCAUUUUUGAGGAACUGCCCUGGGUCCUAUCCAAAUACUGUUGCUGCACCAUCAAUAGCACCCUGACCAGCUGCAUCACAGCUUGGUAUGGAAACUGUUAGACACGACCGCGUGCCCCUUCAGCGGGUGGUGAGGACGGCCAGCACAUCGUUGGGUCCGUGCUUUCACCCGUCCAGGAGGACAUUUUGGUCCGAAAUUAUUAUAUUUUCAUUUCUCUAGCAUUUUUUAUUUUCAGGUGACAUCCACAGGAGAAGCAGUGGCACAGGGGCUUCUGGGAGCUGCUGUUACG